rnacentral:rRNA from 1 species
UACGAAGGGGGCUAGCGUUGCUCGGAAUCACUGGGCGUAAAGCGCACGUAGGCGGAUUGUUAAGUCAGGGGUGAAAUCCUGGAGCUCAACUCCAGAACUGCCUUUGAUACUGGCGAUCUUGAGUUCGGGAGAGGUGAGUGGAACUGCGAGUGUAGAGGUGAAAUUCGUAGAUAUUCGCAAGAACACCAGUGGCGAAGGCGGCUCACUGGCCCGGAUACUGACGCUGACGGUGCGAAAGCGUGGGGAGCAAACAGG